rnacentral:rRNA from 1 species
GACGAACGCUGGCGGCGUGCUUAACACAUGCAAGUCGAACGGUGAACGAGGGAGCUUGCUCCCUCCGGAUCAGUGGCGAACGGGUGAGUAACACGUGAGCAAUCUGCCCCGAACUCUGGGAUAAGCGUUGGAAACGACGUCUAAUACCGGAUACGACGCGGGAGGGCAUCCUCUCCGCGUGGAAAGAACUUCGGUUGGGGAUGGGCUCGCGGCCUAUCCGCUUGUUGGUGAGGUAACGGCUCACCAAGGCGACGACGGGUAGCCGGCCUGAGAGGGGGACCGGGCACACGGGGACUGAGACACGGCCCAGACUCCAACGGGAGGCAGCAGUGGGGAAUAUUGCACAAUGGGCGCAAGCCUGAUGCAGCAACGCCGCGUGAGGGACGACGGCCUUCGGGUUGUAAACCUCUUUUAGCAGGGAAGAAGCGAAAGUGACGGUACCUGCAGAAAAAGCACCGGCUAACUACGUG